rnacentral:rRNA from 1 species
GUGAGGAAUAUUGGACAAUGGGCGCAAGCCUGAUCCAGCCAUGCCGCGUGCAGGAAGACGCAUCUAUGGUGUGUAAACUGCUUUUGUACGGGAAGAAACACUCCCUCGUGAGGGAGCUUGACGGUACCGUAAGAAUAAGGAUCGGCUAACUCCGUGCCAGCAGCCGCGGUAAUACGGAGGAUCCAAGCGUUAUCCGGAAUCAUUGGGUUUAAAGGGUCCGUAGGCGGUUUAAUAAGUCAGUUGUGAAAGCCCAUCGCUCAACGAUGGAACGGCCAUUGAUACUGUUAGACUUGAAUUACAAGGAAGUAACUAGAAUAUGUAGUGUAGCGGUGAAAUGCUUAGAUAUUACAUGGAAUACCAAUUGCGAAGGCAGGUUACUACUUGUGGAUUGACGCUGAUGGACGAAAGCGUGGGGAGCGAACAGGAUUAGAAACCCUAGUAGUCC